GCUGAUAUGGCUCCGUUGGUAGAGCGCACCCUUGGUAUGGGCGGGGUCGCCAGUUGGGCAUAAGGUAUCAGCACCA
rnacentral:tRNA from 1 species